AGUGAACGCUGGCGGUAGGCCUAACACAUGCAAGUCGAACGGCAGCACAGGAGAGCUUGCUCUCUAGGUGGCGAGUGGCGGACGGGUGAGGAAUACAUCGGAAUCUGCCCAGUCGUGGGGGAUAACGUAGGGAAACUUACGCUAAUACCGCAUACGACCUUCGGGUGAAAGAGGGGGAUCGCAAGACCUCUCGCGAUUGGAUGAGCCGAUGUCGGAUUAGCUAGUUAGCGGGGUAAUGGCCCACCAAGGCGACGAUCCGUAGCUGGUCUGAGAGGAUGAUCAGCCACACUGGAACUGAGACACGGUCCAGACUCCUACGGGAGGCAGCAGUGGGGAAUAUUGGACAAUGGGCGCAAGCCUGAUCCAGCCAUACCGCGUGGGUGAAGAAGGCCUUCGGGUUGUAAAGCCCUUUUGUUGGGAAAGAAGUCUUUCAGGCUAAUACCCUGGGAGGAUGACGGUACCCAAAGAAUAAGCACCGGCUAACUUCGUG
rnacentral:rRNA from 1 species